GUCCCCUUCGUCUAGAGGCUCAGGACACCGCCCUUUCACGGCGGUAACAGGGGUUCGAAUCCCCUAGGGGACGCCA
rnacentral:tRNA from 13 species